rnacentral:rRNA from 1 species
CCUACGGGAGGCAGCAGUGGGGAAUAUUGGACAAUGGGGGGAACCCUGAUCCAGCCAUGCCGCGUGUGUGAAGAAGGCCCUCGGGUUGUAAAGCACUUUCAGUGAGGAAGAACGCCUGGUGGUUAAUACCCAUCAGGAAAGACAUCACUCACAGAAGAAGCACCGGCUAACUCCGUGCCAGCAGCCGCGGUAAUACGGAGGGUGCGAGCGUUAAUCGGAAUUACUGGGCGUAAAGCGCGCGUAGGUGGCUUGAUAAGCCGGUUGUGAAAGCCCCGGGCUCAACCUGGGAACGGCAUCCGGAACUGUCAAGUUAGAGUGCAGGAGAGGAAGGUAGAAUUCCCGGUGUAGCGGUGAAAUGCGUAGAGAUCGGGAGGAAUACCAGUGGCGAAGGCGGCCUUCUGGACUGACACUGACACUGAGGUGCGAAAGCGUGGGUAGCAAACAGGAUUAGAUACCCGUGUAGUC